AAGGUAACGGCUUACCAAGGCAACGAUGCAUAGCCGACCUGAGAGGGUGAUCGGCCACACUGGAACUGAGACACGGUCCAGACUCCUACGGGAGGCAGCAGUAGGGAAUCUUCCGCAAUGGGCGAAAGCCUGACGGAGCAACGCCGCGUGAGUGAUGAAGGUCUUCGGAUCGUAAAACUCUGUUAUUAGGGAAGAACAUAUGUGUAAGUAACUGUGCACAUCUUGACGGUACCUAAUCAGAAAGCCACGGCUAACUACGUGCCAGCAGCCGCGGUAAUACGUAGGUGGCAAGCGUUAUCCGGAAUUAUUGGGCGUAAAGCGCGCGUAGGCGGUUUUUUAAGUCUGAUGUGAAAGCCCACGGCUCAACCGUGGAGGGUCAUUGGAAACUGGAAAACUUGAGUGCAGAAGAGGAAAGUGGAAUUCCAUGUGUAGCGGUGAAAUGCGCAGAGAUAUGGAGGAACACCAGUGGCGAAGGCGACUUUCUGGUCUGUAACUGACGCUGAUGUGCGAAAGCGUGGGGAUCAAACAGGAUUAGAUACCCUGGUA
rnacentral:rRNA from 1 species